CUUCAGGUGGCUGGCACCUUAGAUUUAAUUCGUUAAUAGCAGGUGAGUGUGCGGCUCAGUGAUGUCACUAAGGGAACUGCCUUGUGCAUGAAGGACCUCCCUCCUCCUCGGCUCAUGCUCAGGAGAACCUGAUGUGCUGAACAACCGGGUCCUCUUCUGACCCCGCCAUGGGCACCAGGCUCCUCUGCUGCGUGGCCCUCUGUCUCCUGGGGGCAGGUCACACAGGAGCUGGUGUCCUCCAGUCCCCCCGGCACAAGGUCACAAUGCAGGGCUGGAAUGUGACCUUCAGGUGUGAUCCAAUUUCUGGUCACGCUGGCCUUUUUUGGUACCGACAGGCCCAGGGGCAAGGCCCGGAGUUGUUAAUUUACUUCCAAAACAAGAACAAAGUAGACAUAACAGGGACGCCCAAGAAUGAUCGGUUCCAGGCAAAGAGGCCUGAGGGCACCUACUCCAAUCUGCAGAUCCAGCAAGCAGAGCCGGGGGACUGGGCUGUGUACCUCUGUGCCAGCAGCCUUACCACAGCCUCUGGACAGGAUGGAGGAGGGCGUGCAUCCGCUGAGCCUGUCCAGGCAGUGCAGGGUGCCGGCGGGAGGACAGUGACAUCAGAACAGUGA